GGGUUGUGAGGUUAAGCGACUAAGCGUACACGGUGGAUGCCCUGGCAGUCAGAGGCGAUGAAGGACGUGCUAAUCUGCGAUAAGCGUCGGUAAGGUGAUAUGAACCGUUAUAACCGGCGAUUUCCGAAUGGGGAAACCCAGUGUGAUUCGUCACACUAUCAUUAACUGAAUCCAUAGGUUAAUGAGGCGAACCGGGGGAACUGAAACAUCUAAGUACCCCGAGGAAAAGAAAUCAACCGAGAUUCCCCCAGUAGCGGCGAGCGAACGGGGAGCAGCCCAGAGCCUGAAUCAGUGUGUGUGUUAGUGGAAGCGUCUGGAAAGGCGCGCGAUACAGGGUGACAGCCCCGUACACAAAAAUGCACAUGCUGUGAGCUCGAUGAGUAGGGCGGGACACGUGGUAUCCUGUCUGAAUAUGGGGGGACCAUCCUCCAAGGCUAAAUACUCCUGACUGACCGAUAGUGAACCAGUACCGUGAGGGAAAGGCGAAAAGAACCCCGGCGAGGGGAGUGAAAAAGAACCUGAAACCGUGUACGUACAAGCAGUGGGAGCACGCUUCGGCGUGUGACUGCGUACCUUUUGUAUAAUGGGUCAGCGACUUAUAUUCUGUAGCAAGGUUAACCGAAUAGGGGAGCCGAAGGGAAACCGAGUCUUAACUGGGCGUUAAGUUGCAGGGUAUAGACCCGAAACCCGGUGAUCUAGCCAUGGGCAGGUUGAAGGUUGGGUAACACUAACUGGAGGACCGAACCGACUAAUGUUGAAAAAUUAGCGGAUGACUUGUGGCUGGGGGUGAAAGGCCAAUCAAACCGGGAGAUAGCUGGUUCUCCCCGAAAGCUAUUUAGGUAGCGCCUCGUGAAUUCAUCUCCGGGGGUAGAGCACUGUUUCGGCAAGGGGGUCAUCCCGACUUACCAACCCGAUGCAAACUGCGAAUACCGGAGAAUGUUAUCACGGGAGACACACGGCGGGUGCUAACGUCCGUCGUGAAGAGGGAAACAACCCAGACCGCCAGCUAAGGUCCCAAAGUCAUGGUUAAGUGGGAAACGAUGUGGGAAGGCCCAGACAGCCAGGAUGUUGGCUUAGAAGCAGCCAUCAUUUAAAGAAAGCGUAAUAGCUCACUGGUCGAGUCGGCCUGCGCGGAAGAUGUAACGGGGCUAAACCAUGCACCGAAGCUGCGGCAGCGACGCUUAUGCGUUGUUGGGUAGGGGAGCGUUCUGUAAGCCUGCGAAGGUGUGCUGUGAGGCAUGCUGGAGGUAUCAGAAGUGCGAAUGCUGACAUAAGUAACGAUAAAGCGGGUGAAAAGCCCGCUCGCCGGAAGACCAAGGGUUCCUGUCCAACGUUAAUCGGGGCAGGGUGAGUCGACCCCUAAGGCGAGGCCGAAAGGCGUAGUCGAUGGGAAACAGGUUAAUAUUCCUGUACUUGGUGUUACUGCGAAGGGGGGACGGAGAAGGCUAUGUUGGCCGGGCGACGGUUGUCCCGGUUUAAGCGUGUAGGCUGGUUUUCCAGGCAAAUCCGGAAAAUCAAGGCUGAGGCGUGAUGACGAGGCACUACGGUGCUGAAGCAACAAAUGCCCUGCUUCCAGGAAAAGCCUCUAAGCAUCAGGUAACAUCAAAUCGUACCCCAAACCGACACAGGUGGUCAGGUAGAGAAUACCAAGGCGCUUGAGAGAACUCGGGUGAAGGAACUAGGCAAAAUGGUGCCGUAACUUCGGGAGAAGGCACGCUGAUAUGUAGGUGAAGUCCCUCGCGGAUGGAGCUGAAAUCAGUCGAAGAUACCAGCUGGCUGCAACUGUUUAUUAAAAACACAGCACUGUGCAAACACGAAAGUGGACGUAUACGGUGUGACGCCUGCCCGGUGCCGGAAGGUUAAUUGAUGGGGUCAGCGCAAGCGAAGCUCUUGAUCGAAGCCCCGGUAAACGGCGGCCGUAACUAUAACGGUCCUAAGGUAGCGAAAUUCCUUGUCGGGUAAGUUCCGACCUGCACGAAUGGCGUAAUGAUGGCCAGGCUGUCUCCACCCGAGACUCAGUGAAAUUGAACUCGCUGUGAAGAUGCAGUGUACCCGCGGCAAGACGGAAAGACCCCGUGAACCUUUACUAUAGCUUGACACUGAACAUUGAGCCUUGAUGUGUAGGAUAGGUGGGAGGCUUUGAAGUGUGGACGCCAGUCUGCAUGGAGCCGACCUUGAAAUACCACCCUUUAAUGUUUGAUGUUCUAACGUUGACCCGUAAUCCGGGUUGCGGACAGUGUCUGGUGGGUAGUUUGACUGGGGCGGUCUCCUCCUAAAGAGUAACGGAGGAGCACGAAGGUUGGCUAAUCCUGGUCGGACAUCAGGAGGUUAGUGCAAUGGCAUAAGCCAGCUUGACUGCGAGCGUGACGGCGCGAGCAGGUGCGAAAGCAGGUCAUAGUGAUCCGGUGGUUCUGAAUGGAAGGGCCAUCGCUCAACGGAUAAAAGGUACUCCGGGGAUAACAGGCUGAUACCGCCCAAGAGUUCAUAUCGACGGCGGUGUUUGGCACCUCGAUGUCGGCUCAUCACAUCCUGGGGCUGAAGUAGGUCCCAAGGGUAUGGCUGUUCGCCAUUUAAAGUGGUACGCGAGCUGGGUUUAGAACGUCGUGAGACAGUUCGGUCCCUAUCUGCCGUGGGCGCUGGAGAACUGAGGGGGGCUGCUCCUAGUACGAGAGGACCGGAGUGGACGCAUCACUGGUGUUCGGGUUGUCAUGCCAAUGGCACUGCCCGGUAGCUAAAUGCGGAAGAGAUAAGUGCUGAAAGCAUCUAAGCACGAAACUUGCCCCGAGAUGAGUUCUCCCUGACUCCUUGAGAGUCCUGAAGGAACGUUGAAGACGACGACGUUGAUAGGCCGGGUGUGUAAGCGCAGCGAUGCGUUGAGCUAACCGGUACUAAUGAACCGUGAGGCUUAACCUUACAACGCCGAAG
rnacentral:rRNA from 1 species